rnacentral:rRNA from 1 species
GAUGAACGCUGGCGGCGUGCCUAAUACAUGCAAGUCGAGCGAACAGAUGAGGAGCUUGCUCCUCUGACGUUAGCGGCGGACGGGUGAGUAACACGUGGAUAACCUACCUAUAAGACUGGGAUAACUUCGGGAAACCGGAGCUAAUACCGGAUAAUAUAUUGAACCGCAUGGUUCAAUAGUGAAAGACGGUUUUGCUGUCACUUAUAGAUGGAUCCGCGCCGCAUUAGCUAGUUGGUAAGGUAACGGCUUACCAAGGCAACGAUGCGUAGCCGACCUGAGAGGGUGGUCGGCGACACUGGAACUGAGACACGGUCCAGACUCCUACGGGAGGCAGCAGUAGGGAAUCUUCCGCAAUGGGCGAAAGCCUGACGGAGCAACGCCGCGUGAGUGAUGAAGGUCUUCGGAUCGUAAAACUCUGUUAUUAGGGAAGAACAAAUGUGUAAGUAACUAUGCACGUCUUGACGGUACCUAAUCAGAAAGCCACGGCUAACUACGUG